rnacentral:rRNA from 1 species
GCCAAGUCGAGCGCAGGAAGCUGACGGAACUCUUCGGAGGGAAGGCAGUGGAAUGCGCGGCGGACGGGUGAGUAACACGUAAGGAACCUGCCUCAAGGAUUGGGAUAACUCCGAGAAAUCGGAGCUAAUACCGGAUAGUUCAACGGACCGCAUGGUCCGCUGAUGAAAGGCGCUCCGGCGUCACCUUGAGAUGGCCUUGCGGUGCAUUAGCUAGUUGGUGGGGUAACGGCCCACCAAGGCGACGAUGCAUAGCCGACCUGAGAGGGUGAUCGGCCACACUGGGACUGAGACACGGCCCAGACUCCUACGGGAGGCAGCAGUAGGGAAUCUUCCACAAUGGACGAAAGUCUGAUGGAGCAACGCCGCGUGAGUGAUGAAGGUUUUCGGAUCGUAAAACUCUGUUGUAAGGGAAGAACACGUACGAGAGGGAAUGCUCGUACCUUGACGGUACCUUACGAGAAAGCCACGGCUAACUACGUGCCAGCAGCCGCGGUAAUACGUAGGUGGCAAGCGUUGUCCGGAAUUAUUGGGCGUAAAGCGCGCGCAGGCGGCCUCUUAAGUCUGAUGUGAAAGCCCCCGGCUCAACCGGGGAGGGCCAUUGGAAACUGGGAGGCUUGAGUACAGAAAAGAAGAGUGGAAUUCCACGUGUAGCGG